AGCCUACGGGGGGCAGCAGUGGGGAAUAUUGGGCAAUGGGCGCAAGCCUGACCCAGCGACGCCGCGUGAGGGAAGACGGUUUUCGGAUUGUAAACCUCUGUCUUUGGGGACGAAAUGAGACGGUACCCAAGGAGGAAGCUCCGGCUAACUACGUGCCAGCAGCCGCGGUAAUACGUAGGGAGCAAGCGUUGUCCGGAAUUACUGGGUGUAAAGGGAGCGUAGGCGGGAUAGUAAGUUGAUUGUUAAAACUAUCGGCUCAACUGAUAGAUGCGAUCAAAACUGCAAUUCUUGAGUGAAGUAGAGGC
rnacentral:rRNA from 1 species